rnacentral:tRNA from 1 species
CAAGAAGUAGUUUAAUAAAAAUUUAAGUUUUGGAGAUUUAAGAUGAAUAAUUUCUUUCUUGA